CAUGUCUAUUUAAACCUCCCCACGUCUUAGCCCCUGGCCAUCUCCAGAGUCUGCAAAGGCAAAUCCACUGGAGCUGGCAGGGGAGAGAGGAAGAGGAGUGCUUUAAAGCACUCCACCACCAUGC